GGCGGUCUUAGCGCGGUGGUCCCACCUGACCCCAUGCCGAACUCAGAAGUGAAACGCCGUAGCGCCGAUGGUAGUGUGGGGUCUCCCCAUGCGAGAGUAGGGAACUGCCAGGC
rnacentral:rRNA from 2 species